rnacentral:lncRNA from 1 species
UACAAUUGUUUCCAGACCUUUUAAAGGUCGUAACAUUAUGUUGGUAUUGAAACAAAACUUCAUCAUUCCUUGUAUCAAUAAAACUUGAAAUGUCAGAUGAAAUAUUGUGAAAUGUCAGAUAAAAUAUUGCAUGAACCGAGCAUAUUCAUUUUAUUCCCCUCCAGCUUUAAUUCUCUGAAUUAGCUGCAAUUUACUGAUUCUGACUGUUGGCAUAGAUGGAGCUGCUAUGCGCUUGUGUAGAACCAACUUUACAGUUUUGAUGGUUUAAAGAAUCUCACAAAUCCAGAAUUGUCUCCUGCACUGCAGUGUUUUGAUAUGGGGGGUUAGAUGUUUGUGUUUUUCAUUGUGAAGUUGUAAUUUCUUGGUUGAUUUACAUAUUUUGAGUGCCUUGCAAAUUGAAAUUUUAUGGGCAAAAUUUAUUCCAC